AGAGUUUGANCCUGGCUCAGAACGAACGCUGGCGGCAGGCCUAACACAUGCAAGUCGAGCGCCCAGCAAUGGGAGCGGCGGACGGGUGAGUAACGCGUGGGAAUUUUUCCUGGAGUACGGAACAACCGAGGGAAACUUCGGCUAAUACCGUAUGAUAUCGAGAGAUCAAAGAUUUAUCGCUCUGGGGUGAGCCCGCGUCAGAUUAGGUAGUUGGUGGGGUAACGGCCUACCAAGCCUGCGAUCUGUAGCUGGUCUGAGAGGACGAUCAGCCACACUGGGACUGAGACACGGCCCAGACUCCUACGGGAGGCAGCAGUGGGGAAUCUUGCGCAAUGGGCGAAAGCCUGACGCAGCCAUGCCGCGUGAGUGAAGAAGGUCUUAGGAUUGUAAAGCUCUUUCGCUCGUGACGAUGAUGACGGUAACGAGAGAAGAAGCCCCGGCUAACUUCGUGCCAGCAGCCGCGGUAAUACGAAGGGGGCUAGCGUUGUUCGGAAUUACUGGGCGUAAAGCGCGCGUAGGCGGUUUUGCAAGCCAGAGGUGAAAUGCCUGAGCUCAACUUAGGAAUUGCCUUUGGGACUGCGAGGCUUUGAGGACUGAAGAGGUGAGUGGAAUUCCCAGUGUAGAGGUGAAAUUCGUAGAUAUUGGGAAGAACACCGGUGGCGAAGGCGGCUCACUGGCCAGUUUCUGACGCUGCAGCGCGAAAGCGUGGGGAUCAAACAGGAUUAGAUACCCUGGUAGUCCACGCUGUAA
rnacentral:rRNA from 1 species